rnacentral:rRNA from 1 species
ACCAUGCAAGUCGAGCGAUGAAACUACUUCGGUAGUGAAUUAGCGGCGAACGGGUGAGGAACACGUGAGGAAUCUGCCUUCAACACUGGGAUAACUCCGGGAAACCGGGGCUAAUACCGGAUACGAGCCUUGAUCGCAUGAUCGAGGCUGGAAAGUUUUUCGGUUGAAGAUGACCUCGCGGCCUAUCAGCUUGUUGGUGAGGUAAUGGCUCACCAAGGCGACGACGGGUAGCCGGCCUGAGAGGGCGACCGGCCACACUGGGACUGAGACACGGCCCAGACUCCUACGGGAGGCAGCAGUGGGGAAUAUUGGGCAAUGGAGGAAACUCUGACCCAGCGACGCCGCGUGCGGGAUGGAGGCCUUCGGGUUGUAAACCGCUUUCAGUAGGGAAGAAGCGAAAGUGACGGUACCUACAGAAGAAGCACCGGCUAACUAUGUGCCAGCAGCCGCGGUAAUACAUAGGGUGCAAGCGUUGUCCGGAAUUAUUGGGCGUAAAGAGCUCGUAGGUGGUUUGAUACGUCGGGUGUGAAAUUCAGGGGCUCAACCCCUGACCUGCAUUCGAUACGGUCAAGCUAGAGUUUGGUAGGGGAGACUGGAAUUCCUGGUGUAGCGGUGGAAUGCGCAGAUAUCAGGAGGAACACCGAUGGCGAAGGCAGGUCUCUGGGCCAAUACUGACACUGAGGAGCGAAAGCGUGGGGAGCGAACAGGAUUAGAUACCCUGGUAGUCCACGCCGUAAACGGUGGGCGCUAGUUGUGCGAACCUUCCACGGUUUGUGCGACGCAGCUAACGCAUUAAGCGCCCCGCCUGGGGAGUACGAUCGCAAGAUUAAAACUCAAAGGAAUUGACGG